rnacentral:rRNA from 1 species
UACGUAGGGUGCGAGCGUUAAUCGGAAUUACUGGGCGUAAAGCGUGCGCAGGCGGUUCGUUGUGUCGGCGGGGAAAUCUCCUGGCUCAACUGGGAGCUUGCAGGCGAAACUGCCGUGCUGGAGUGUGGGAGAGGUGCGUGGAAUUCCUGGUGUAGCGGUGAAAUGCGCAGAUAUCAGGAGGAACACCGGUGGCGAAGGCGGGUCUCUGGGCAGUAACUGACGCUGAGGAGCGAAAGCGUGGGGAGCGAACAGG